GUUUGUUUGUUUGUUUAUUUUGGUGUACCGUCACAGCUACUAUUAUUAUUUUUGUUCGUGUUGCGUUGUCAUCACCACUGCUACUGUCGGUGGUGGUGGUAUUGCUGUGGUGGCGGUGGUGGUGGUGGUGGUGGUGGUGCUGGUGGUGCUGGUGGUAAUAAUAAUAAUGGUGUGUUGUCAGUAUCAUUUCAUCAUUGUUCUUAGUACUACUACUACUACUACUACUACUACUACUACUACUACUAAUAAUAAUAAUAAUAAUAAUAGUACUGCUACCAUCACCACCACCAUCACUAUUACUGACUAUCACCACCACCACCAUCACCACCUGUACCACCGCCAUCUCUUGACUACCAAUUUUACCACCACCAUUUCCAUCCUUGGCGACUUGUGUUACCACCACCAACACCAACAACAACAACAACAACAACAACAACAACAACAAGUGGAUUUCAGUGUCAGGAAACGCAACAACUGCAAUAGCGAUUCAAGGGACACACACACGCACACACACACACAGGCCUUGGCAGUGAGAGGCGUAAUGAGGAUAUCUGACGGAGGAGGAGGAAGAAAAGGAGGACGGCACUGUAAAUGAGUACAGGAAAUCAGUGCCACCAUUAGCAGUGCCAUGAACAUUGCCACCAUUAGCAGUGACAUAAACAAGGUGCCAUAAACAUUGCCACCAUUAGCAGUGUCAUUAAGAACGCCAUCAUUACUAGUGCCAUAAACGGUGCCAUGACAUUGCCGCCCUGCCCAGUCUUAUUCUACGCCAACCCGGGGAAACUGUGCCACGCAGGCCUUUGGUGCUUAUUUAUGUAGUGAAUUAUGGAACAAGUUAAGCAGUUAGUUAGUUAGAUUAAAAGUUUUGAUCGUAUGUUUUUUUCGUGUCAUGGUCAUUUGAGUUAUAUUUGAGUGUGCUCCUCCCCCUCCCCCUCCACCUCCUCCUCCUCCUCCUCCUCCUCCUCCUCCUCCUCCUCCUCCUCCUCCUCCUCCUCCUCCUCCUCCUCCUCCUUGCCUAGUACAUUUUUUUUUCCCAAACAGCCAUGCAAGGACCUAAAUAUCAGUUGCUGUGUGGAUAUUCUAUGUAAUCCUUAGUAAUUUCGGAAUACUGACUACCGGCAUGUGUGUGUGUGUGUGUGUGUGUGUGUGUGUGUGUGUGUGUGUGUGUGUGUGCGUGUGUGCGUGUGUGCGUAAGUGGUGUUAGUAUUAGCGUAAUUUGGUGUGUAGGAGGAAGGAGAUGAGAUCGGUUGGCGCCAGAACUACUCUCUCUCUCUCUCUCUCUCUCUCUCUCUCUCUCUCUCUCUCUCUCUCUCUCUCUCUCUCUCUCUCUCUCUCUCUCUCUC